rnacentral:rRNA from 1 species
CACGGAGUUAGCCGGUGCUUAUUCGUAUAGUACCUUCAGCUUUCCACACGUGGAAAGGUUUAUCCCUAUACAAAAGAAGUUUACAACCCAUAGGGCCGUCGUCCUUCACGCGGGAUGGCUGGAUCCCAGGCUCUCACCCAUUGUCCAAUAUUCCUCACUGCUGCCUCCCGUAGGAGUCUGGUCCGUGUCUCAGUACCAGUGUGGGGGAUCACCCUCUCAGGCCCCCUAAGGAUCGUUGACUUGGUAGGCCGUUACCCUACCAACUAUCUAAUCCUGCGCGUGCCCAUCUCUAUCCACCCGUAGUUUCAAUAUCCAAUGAUGCCAUCAAAUAUAUUAUGGGGUAUUAAUCUUCUUUCGAAAGGCUAUCCCCCUGAUAAAGGCAGGUUGCACACGUGUUCCGCACCCGUGCGCCGCUCUCAGUCUCCGAAGAACCUACCGCUCGCUUGCAUGUGUUAGGCCUCCGCUAGCGUUCGAUCCUGACGCCUAGGAUCAAACUCU